rnacentral:ribozyme from 1 species
CUUGAUUUUUAUUAUCCUCUCUUCUCUUAAAGACAGCGUGUUAAUAAUUCCUUUCUCUUCUUUGGCCAUCAUCUCUUUACCUUUUUCUUUAUGAGAUGGCCAGAGAAAGGAAUAACACGCUGUCAAUAUUAAGAGAAGAAAGAAGGAUAAUAAAAGAUUUUCUUAUUGUUUCCUUUUUUAAA